rnacentral:rRNA from 1 species
UACGUAGGUGGCAAGCGUUGUCCGGAUUUAUUGGGCGUAAAGGGAGCGCAGGCGGUGACUUAAGUCUGAUGUGAAAGCCCACGGCUCAACCGUGGAGGGUCAUUGGAAACUGGGUCACNUUGAGUACAGAAGAGGAAAGCGGAAUUCCAUGUGUAGCGGUGAAAUGCGUAGAUAUAUGGAGGAACACCAGUGGCGAAACUGGUCAUUCUGGUCUGAAACUGACGCUGAGGCUCGAAAGC